GACUAGGUCUAUACUGCUCCUACAUGGUGUAACAAUACAUCAUGUAGAUGUAUAUAAUGAACAGACUAGGUCUAUACUGCUCCUGCAUGGUGUAACAAUACAUCAUGUAUAUAAUGAACAGACUAGGUCUAUACUGCUCCUACAUGGUGUAACAAUACAUCAUGUAUAUAAUGAACAGACUAGGUCUAUACUGCUCCUACAUGGUGUAACAAUACAUCAUGUAGAUGUAUAUAAUGAACAGACUAGGUCUAUACUGCUCCUACAUGGUGUAACAAUACAUCAUGUAGAUGUAUAUAAUGAACAGACUAGGUCUAUACUGCUCCUACAUGGUGUAACAAUACAUCAUGUAUAUAAUGAACAGACUAGGUCUAUACUGCUCCUACAUGGUGUAACAAUACAUCAUGUAGAUGUAUAUAAUGAACAGACUAGGUCUAUACUGCUCCUACAUGGUGUAACAAUACAUCAUGUAGAUGUAUAUAAUGAACAGACUAGGUCUAUACUGCUCCUACAUGGUGUAACAAUACAUCAUGUAGAUGUAUAUAAUGAACAGACUAGGUCUAUACUGCUCCUACAUGGUGUAACAAUACAUCAUGUAGAUGUAUAUAAUGAACAGACUAGGUCUAUACUGCUCCUACAUGGUGUAACAAUAC